UUGUCUUAGUAAUGCUUUUACUUUUUAAAGAUUUAAGCCAUCGAUGGCUGUGUCGCUGUAAAGCGCUUCGACCGCUCCGUAUCCCUGUGUAGCAAGGUCCUUCUAGGUCUCUUCCGGAUGUGAGCGAUCACUACCACGAACCAACGAUCGUCGCCACACGCUCAUUUAAAUAUCGUAAUGCGCAACAGCCUUCGACGGGACAACUGGAAGUGCAACGAAAUGAUGUUAGUAGCCGCCUAAGCAUCCUCACCCUUACACACGUACCAUUAUAUCCCAGGAAAGUGAUAUAGAUGUAGUAUCCGAGCGCCAACAGCCAAAUGGUGUUGCCGAUGAACGUUGAUAUGAACCAGUCC